GUUGCAGUUAAAAAGCUCGUAGUCGAACCUUGGGUCUGGCUGGCCGGUCCGCCUCACCGCGAGUACUGGUCCGGCUGGACCUUUCCUUCUGGGGAACCUCAUGGCCUUCACUGGCUGUGGGGGGAACCAGGACUUUUACUGUGAAAAAAUUAGAGUGUUCAAAGCAGGCCUUUGCUCGAAUACAUUAGCAUGGAAUAAUAGAAUAGGACGUGCGGUUCUAUUUUGUUGGUUUCUAGGACCGCCGUAAUGAUUAAUAGGGAUAGUCGGGGGCGUCAGUAUUCAGCUGUCAGAGGUGAAAUUCUUGGAUUUGCUGAAGACUAACUACUGCGAAAGCAUUCGCCAAGGAUGUUUUCAUUAAUCAGGGAACGAAAGUUAGGGGAUCGAAGACGAUCAGAUACCGUCGUAGUCUUAACCAUAAACUAUGCCGACUAGGGAUCGGGCGGCGUUUCUAUGAUGACCCGCUCGGCACCUUACGAGAAAUCAAAGUUUUUGGGUUCU
rnacentral:rRNA from 1 species